rnacentral:rRNA from 1 species
GACGUAGGGCGCGAGCGUUGUCCGGAUUUAUUGGGCGUAAAGAGCUCGUAGGCGGUUUGUCGCGUCUGCCGUGAAAGUCCGGGGCUCAACUCCGGAUCUGCGGUGGGUACGGGCAGACUAGAGUGAUGUAGGGGAGACUGGAAUUCCUGGUGUAGCGGUGAAAUGCGCAGAUAUCAGGAGGAACACCGAUGGCGAAGGCAGCCCCCUGGGCCUGCACUGACGCUCAUGCACGAAAGCGUGGGGAGCAAACAGG